GCGCGGUUUUGCUGACGCGCGGCACGUGCCCGUACCGUGACCUGCGCAUGCGCUUUGGAAGCCUCGCGAGCUUCCUGCGGCACUCAGGGUUUGGUGCAGGUACCUGUGGCCUUUGGGGGUUUCCUCGCGUCUUUUAGGUAGAUGCUUCCAGGGAUUCUCCGAGGCCUCUUCCUACUCCAGUAACUGCAGGUUUCUGGGGAAGCCGUGGCCAGCUCUAAUCCCCUACUUUUUUUUUUUUUUGAGACAGUUUCGCUCUGUCGCCCAGGCUGGAGUGCAGUGGAGCCAUCUCGCCUCACUGCAACCUCCGCCUCCAGGGUUCAAGCUGAGGCCUCCUGCCUCAGCGUCUCUAGUAGCUGGAAUUACAAGGAGAGCAAUGGCCCACUCACACCCGAAACAGAGAAGCGAGGAUUUUUUUUUUCCUGCAAGCUGCUGCGCAUUAAUUAAGUCAAAGUGCACAAGAAAUCUUUUCCACCCCGGUUUUCCAACUUUUCGGGGGUCAUUAGGGAAAAACAUUCGUUGAACAGAUGUCCUUAGGGUCGGCGUUUUUAUCUCUGAAAGGAAGAACACUUGGAAAGGAAGCUGCGUGUUUUUCCUUUUGCCCGGAAGAGCCAGCCUGUAUGUCUCCCUUUUGACCCGAGGCCGAGCGCCUGAAGCCUCUUGGACUUAGUUAACAUUAGUCCGUUUUCUAUGCAUUUGUCCUUGGCUUGGUUUAUGGUGUUUGUUGAAAGAGAUGGGGUCUCUUCUGUUUUCCCAUGAUGGUUUCCAACUGCUGGUCUCAAGCGAUCCUUCUGCCUCAGCCUCCCAAAGUGCUGGUAUGACAGGUGUGAGCCACUGCACCCAGCCUAAUUUAUGCUGUUUGAAGACACUGUGAAGAGGACGCUGUGUUUCUCCCCACACUACACGUGUGGACACAGAGGCUGGAGAUGUGAAGGAACUUGUUCUGGGUCACACAGCGGAACCGUCUGGCCUAGUGGAGAUGCCACUGUAGCCAGGUGGCAUGAGGAUCCAAGCUCUGAGCCUGCAUUUCCUGGGGAUGGCACCAGGGAUGGCUGCCAGCUGAAGGAGGGCCCACCCCUCCACACACAGCCCCAUCCUGCCACUCCCCAUCUACAGAUCGGGACAGCUGGGACAUGGUAAGGUCCUGUGAGAUCCAGAGGUGCUCUGGGGCUCCCCAGGUUGCUGAUCCAUGCAGAGCUUCUCCCUGGCUCCUUCUGUCAGAGCCCAAAGAUCCCUGUACUUUGGAAGAUUGGGCAAUGCCUGUGUGCACGAUUAGAUAAUUAGUUACAUGCUCCUCAGGUGCCGUUAAGAAAAUGACACUCCAAGGCUGUGUGUACUUCACACAGGCCAUUACUGCUCAUCCAUGCACAGGAAAGCAGCCCCAGAGGACCUGCCGGGGCUGCCCUGCCCGAGCCACCCACCG